rnacentral:rRNA from 1 species
AGGAAGGAAGUCGUAACAAGGUUUCCGUAGGUGAACCUGCGGAAGGAUCAUUGUCAAAACUUUCAUAGACAACCGCGAACCUGUUUUCAUACUAUGGGCAAAUCGCGUGGGGUAACUCCGCGGUACGUCCUUUCUCGCAUGGGCGAUGCUCAUUGCGGGCUAACAAACUCCGGCGCGGCAUGCGCCAAGGAAAGUUAACGGUAGCGUCCGACCCCAAUCGCCCCGUUUGGGGAUAGCGAGGGGGGAGUGUGACAUGCCUCUUAUGUCUAAAUGACUCUCGGCAACGGAUAUCUCGGCUCUCGCAACGAUGAAGAACGUAGCGAAAUGCGAUACUUGGUGUGAAUUGCAGAAUCCCGUGAACCAUCGAGUUUUUGAACGCAAGUUGCGCCCGAAGCCUCUUGGCCGAGGGCACGCCUGCCUGGGCGUCACGCAUCGCGUUGCUCCCGUCCUACCCAUAAUAUUGUGGUAAAUGGAUGGGGUGGACAAUGGCCUCCCGUGAUCGUUAGGUUGCGGUUGGCUUAAGUUAUACGUCGUGGCGCGCACCGUCACAACAUGCGUUGGUUGAGACUCCUAGUCUUGCUCUCGUGUUUGAUGGUGUGCGUUGCUUCCACGAGGACCCAGUGACGUGAUAUGCUCACGUCUUCGAAAGCGACCCCAGGUCAGGCGGGAUCACCCGCUGAGUUUAAGCAUAUC